AUGAAACUCAGCGCUGAGGACAAGGCUGCAGGGAACAUGUUCUCUGGACGAAUCAAGAAGCCGUCCUGCAGGGCGCAUCCUCCCGAGCUGAGGGUGAGCACCGGCCCUGCCCAGCCCUCCUUACUCCACACCUGGGCCCAGCUCAAGCUGCGGGGGGGUGAGAGGGGGCCUGCACCUGCUCUCCUGACGGCAGAACUGGGUGGGCGCCCGGGGUUGUCUCUGGACUCUUUUGAUCCGUGGCUCACUGCCCGCCCUGUAACCCCAGCAGCCCAUUUCUGUCGGGAGCCGAGGCCUGCAGACCCCUCCUCCCACGGGUCAUUCUCUAAUUGGCACGUGGGCCCUGAGCGACACACGGUUGUCAGCAGGGCCCCCAGGUCCCUGCUUCCCCAGCUCAGCUCCGUGUUUAACGCCACCCCAGGCUCCCAUCACUGGGAAAUCAACCCUCCACGAGCCUGCCUCUCAAAGCCACAGACUAACAAGGGCAAUGGAAGGCCUGAUGUUUCUUUAAUGAAAAUUUCAUCAGAGCGGCUUUCUCAUGGAAUAUUAAGCCCGGGCUGGCGGCGGCAUCAGAGCAGGGUCUGCUGGGACAGUGACCUUCACCCCUGGGAGACAAGGGCGCAGCCAGGGUGGCGGUGCCCAGCGGGGCCACAGAGCCCAGCCCUGGCAGUGGAAGGCAGGGGACCUGGAGUGGGGAGUGCUGGGGCCCUUCCCUCUGCUCUGCUCAGCCCCCGUUCCCUGGGCUGCCCCUCCCAGACCCCCGCCCCAGCCCUACCCCUCCUUCUCCACGGCUCAGCCAAAUCCUGGAAGCCCCCAGACCGCUUAGGGCCCCCUCUCCCUGCCUGCACUCAGCCCACCUGCAGCCCUCUCAGCCCGACCUCAAACGGGGAGCCCAGGGCUGGCACCUGGGGCCCCACUGCUGCCUUCCUGGCCCCGCCCCUUUGCAUCUUCCUAGCCCCACAGUGGCCUCCCCAGGCUGUCCCCACCCACAGCGAGGGCCGCGCCUCUGCUCCCAUGGCCUGGAAAGGCAGUGGCCCCCUCACUGUAGCCGGCAGUGUCACCCACGGCUCUGUCCUGUAA
rnacentral:lncRNA from 1 species